rnacentral:rRNA from 1 species
GAUGAACGCUGGCGGCGUGCCUAAUACAUGCAAGUCGAGCGAAUGGAUUAAGAGCUUGCUCUUAUGAAGUUAGCGGCGGACGGGUGAGUAACACGUGGGUAACCUGCCCAUAAGACUGGGAUAACUCCGGGAAACCGGGGCUAAUACCGGAUAACAUUUUGAACCGCAUGGUUCGAACUUGAAAGGCGGCUUCGGCUGUCACUUAUUGAUGGACCCGCGUCGCAUUAGCUAGUUGGCGAGGUAACGGCUCACCAAGGCAACGAUGCGUAGCCGACCUGAGAGGGUGAUCGGCCACACUGGGACUGAGACACGGCCCAGACUCCUACGGGAGGCAGCAGUAGGGAAUCUUCCGCAAUGGACGAAAGUCUGACGGAGCAACGCCGCGUGAGUGAUGAAGGCUUUCGGGUCGUAAAACUCUGUUGUUAGGGAAGAACAAGUGCUAGUUGAAUAAGCUGGCACCUUGACGGUACCUAACCAGAAAGCCACGGCUAACUACGUGCCAGCCGCCGCGGUAA